CCGAUAUCAGUUAUAAACAAUGACACCCAGCAUAAGCCACACCCCCACGGGUAUACAGCAGUAGUUAAUAUUAGGCCAUAAGUGAAAACUUGACCUAGCAAAAUACAUAUAGAGCCGGUUAAUCUCGUGCCAGCGACCGCGGUUACACGAAAGGCUCAAGACAAUAUAAACGGCGUAAAGCACGACUAAAACAAAGUACAAACCUUUAGAGGAAACUAACCUGGGCUGUAAAAAGCCAUAAGCUACAAUAAUCACUCUAAAUCACUGACCUUUUUGACUCGCAAAAGCUGGGGUAUAAACUAAGAUUAGAUACCUUACUAUACCCAGCCACAACACACAAUUAAAAUACUAAUUGUUCGCCAAAUAACUACGAGUAGUAACUUAAAACUUAAAAGACUUGACGGUGCUUCACCACAACCUAGAGGAGCCUGUCUAAUAACCGAUAACCCACGAUUAACCCGACCCCUUCUCGCCAACAGUCUAUAUACCACCGUCGUAAGCUUACCCUAUAAACGGUACAAAGUGAGCUACAUAGUUUUACACUAAAACGACAGGUCGAGGUGUAACCCAUGAAGGGGGCAAAGAUGGGCUACAUUCUCUUAUCAGAGAACACGAAUCUCACUAUGAAUAUAGUGACUGAAGGAGGAUUUAGCAGUAAGAUAGGAAUAA
rnacentral:rRNA from 1 species